GGGACACUGGAGCCGAAGGCGGCGGGAGCUGGAACUGGUCAAUGGAGACUGUCCGAACUGGGCAGACGAAGAGCGGGACCGACCGAGAGAGUCGGCAGAGUCGGCCAGAUCUGCAGAUGAAGGAGCACAAGCUUAGAAAGGUUAAGUAACGUCUCAGAUCACAAAUCCAAAAAUGCUGGAUCCAAGAUUCAAACUCAGAUAUAACCUCUAAAAUGUAAAUUCCGUACUCUUGUGGUUCUUCUCUUUGUCUUCGGUUUUCAGCUGUUGUACUGUGAUGUGCACCAGUGUGGUUUUCUUUUCAAUUGCCUUGUCUGGAAUUUGGAACACCUUCUGAAUCUGUGGUUUGGUAUCUUCCAUCAACUGAGAAGAUUUGAAUGGACAAAGAAAACAGGUGAAGACAAUUUUGAAGAUCUGAGUUUGAAAAAAAUUUGUUGAAAAGCAUGUAUAUGGAACAAAUGACCCAGGGUAUUUUCCAUUAAAAUUAAAAAACUUCCUGUGCAUUUACACUUGUCAAAUAUAAAAAUUGCUACUUGUUUAUUGCUGUAUGUUUAUAACAUCACUAAGAACACUUGUCUUUUUUCAACUCAGUCA